CCGAACGUCGACACGAGUUGUUGCUGGCCCCUCGAAGGGGGGCAUGUGCACGCUCUGUUUACACAUCCACCCACACCUGUGCACCCUCUGUAGUUCUGUGGCGUGAGGGACCCUGACCCUCUGCUGCGGUUCUACGUCUUUACACACACACGUUAAAGAAGUCUGUGGAAUGUACGCCGCGUUUAACGCAAUACAAUA
rnacentral:misc_RNA from 1 species